AACGAACGCUGGCGGCAUGCUUAACACAUGCAAGUCGAACGAGACCUUCGGGUCUAGUGGCGCACGGGUGCGUAACGCGUGGGAAUCUGCCCUUAGGUACGGAAUAACUCAGAGAAAUUUGUGCUAAUACCGUAUGAUGUCGAAAGACCAAAGAUUUAUCGCCUAAGGAUGAGCCCGCGUAAGAUUAGCUUGUUGGUGAGGUAAAAGCUCACCAAGGCGACGAUCUUUAGCUGGUCUGAGAGGAUGAUCAGCCACACUGGGACUGAGACACGGCCCAGACUCCUACGGAGGCAGCAGUGGGGAAUAUUGGACAAUGGGCGAAAGCCUGAUCCAGCAAUGCCGCGUGAGUGAUGAAGGCCUUAGGGUUGUAAAGCUCUUUUACCAGGGAUGAUAAUGACAGUACCUGGAGAAUAAGCUCCGGCUAACUCCGUG
rnacentral:rRNA from 1 species